GUGUAACAUGGAUAAAGCAACACAUUUUCCUGAAAAGAAUUAGAGCAAAAGGCAAGCCAGAAACGAAAUGAUGAUCGCACAAAUGCGUUUGGAGACGACGGACAUGCGAUGAACCUCCUCCACUAUGUGCUGCUGGCCAGUUUUCUCUUCAAUACAACAUUUGUGGAAGGGCGAGGAAAAGGAGGGUGCUCAUUGAGACCAAAAGCAGGAAACUGUACAAGUAAGCCUUGGUGGAACUACAACCCGGAAACACAGAGGUGUGAACUUAUAACGGAAGGAUGUCCUCGCAAGAAGCGUAACUAUUACCGUUCAUGCAAGAUAUGCGCAGAAGUGUGCAUCCUGCCGACGCAAGGCACACCGAAGAAGAAUCCCUGUCCCGGAAAGAUUAAACAAACACUAAAAAACUUGAAAAAUAAAAUGAGAAAACCAGCUUAUAUGAGU